rnacentral:rRNA from 1 species
UACGAAGGGGGGCUAGCGUUGCUCGGAAUCACUGGGCGUAAAGGGGCGCGUAGGCGGACUUUUUAAGCGGGGGUGAAAGCCCAGGGCUCGAACCCUGGAACUUGCCUUCGAGUACUGAGAGUCUUGAGUUGGAAGAGGUUGGUGGAACUGCGAGUGUAGAGGUGAAAAUUCGUAGAUAUUCGCGAAGAACACCAGUGGCGAAGGCGGCCAACUGGUCCGAUACUGACGCUGAGG